GCAGUCGUGGCCGAGUGGUUAAGGCGAUGUACUAGAAAUCAACACAGGUUCGAAUCCUGUCAACUGUG
rnacentral:tRNA from 1 species